GAUCCUGCGCCGAAGAUUUCCGGGGCUAAAACUUACUACCGAAGCUACGGCAUCAGUAAUGAUGGGUAGGGGAGCUUCCCAUACGGGUUGAAGCAUGACCGUAAGGACAUGGGGACAGUAUGGGAGUGAGAAUGUUGGCAUGAGUAGCGAGAUGUGGGUGAGAAUCCCACAGGCCGUAAACCCAAGGUUUCCAGGGGAAGGUUCGUCCGCCC
rnacentral:rRNA from 1 species